GAUGAAGAACGUAGUGAAAUGCGAUAAGUAAUGUGAAUUGCAGAAUUCAGUGAAUCAUCGAAUCUUUGAACGCACAUUGCGCCCGCCAGUAUUCUGGCGGGCAUGCCUGUUCGAGCGUCAUUACAACCCUCAGGCCCCCGGGCCUGGCGUUGGGGAACGACGGAAGCCCCCUGUGGGCACACGCCGUCCCUCAAAUACAGUGGCGGUCCCGCCGCAGCUUCCAUUGCGUAGUAGCUAACACCUCGCAACUGGAGAGCGGCGCGGCCAUGCCGUAAAACACCCAACUUCUGAAUGUUGACCUCGAAUCAGGUAGGAAUACCCGCUGAACUUAAGCAUAUCAAUAAGCGGAGGA
rnacentral:misc_RNA from 1 species